GAUGGAUAGCAGGUCAAUAUUCCUGCGCCAUAUGGGUAUUUCGAUGCUGGGACGGCGUCCAGAAAGUGAGCGGUACGAUUAGAAAUGUCCGUAGCGAAAGCUGAGAAGUCGGGGAUUAAAUCACCUGAAUAAUUCAAGGCAUAGCUCGAGAGCGUUCAAGUUCUCGAAGUCAUUGGAAGGACGUCCAAGAAAAGCAGCUAAGUUA
rnacentral:rRNA from 1 species